GAUGAACGCUGGCGGCGUGCCUAAUACAUGCAAGUCGAGCGAACAGAUAAGGAGCUUGCUCCUUUGACGUUAGCGGCGGACGGGUGAGUAACACGUGGGUAACCUACCUAUAAGACUGGGAUAACUUCGGGAAACCGGAGCUAAUACCGGAUAACAUUUGGAACCGCAUGGUUCUAAAGUGAAAGAUGGUUUUGCUAUCACUUAUAGAUGGACCCGCGCCGUAUUAGCUAGUUGGUAAGGUAACGGCUUACCAAGGCGACGAUACGUAGCCGACCUGAGAGGGUGAUCGGCCACACUGGAACUGAGACACGGUCCAGACUCCUACGGGAGGCAGCAGUAGGGAAUCUUCCGCAAUGGGUGAAAGCCUGACGGAGCAACGCCGCGUGAGUGAUGAAGGGUUUCGGCUCGUAAAACUCUGUUAUUAGGGAAGAACAAAUGUGUAAGUAACUGUGCACAUCUUGACGGUACCUAAUCAGAAAGCCACGGCUAACUACGUGCCAGCAGCCGCGGUAAUACGUAGGUGGCAAGCGUUAUCCGGAAUUAUUGGGCGUAAAGCGCGCGUAGGCGGUUUCUUAAGUCUGAUGUGAAAGCCCACGGCUCAACCGUGGAGGGUCAUUGGAAACUGGGAAACUUGAGUGCAGAAGAGGAAAGUGGAAUUCCAUGUGUAGCGGUGAAAUGCGCAGAGAUAUGGAGGAACACCAGUGGCGAAGGCGACUUUCUGGUCUGUAACUGACGCUGAUGUGCGAAAGCGUGGGGAUCAAACAGGAUUAGAUACCCUGGUAGUCCACGCCGUAAACGAUGAGUGCUAAGUGUUAGGGGGUUUCCGCCCCUUAGUGCUGCAGCUAACGCAUUAAGCACUCCGCCUGGGGAGUACGACCGCAAGGUUGAAACUCAAAGGAAUUGACGGGGACCCGCACAAGCGGUGGAGCAUGUGGUUUAAUUCGAAGCAACGCGAAGAACCUUACCAAAUCUUGACAUCCUUUGAAAACUCUAGAGAUAGAGCCUUCCCCUUCGGGGGACAAAGUGACAGGUGGUGCAUGGUUGUCGUCAGCUCGUGUCGUGAGAUGUUGGGUUAAGUCCCGCAACGAGCGCAACCCUUAAGCUUAGUUGCCAUCAUUAAGUUGGGCACUCUAGGUUGACUGCCGGUGACAAACCGGAGGAAGGUGGGGAUGACGUCAAAUCAUCAUGCCCCUUAUGAUUUGGGCUACACACGUGCUACAAUGGACAAUACAAAGGGCAGCUAAACCGCGAGGUCAUGCAAAUCCCAUAAAGUUGUUCUCAGUUCGGAUUGUAGUCUGCAACUCGACUACAUGAAGCUGGAAUCGCUAGUAAUCGUAGAUCAGCAUGCUACGGUGAAUACGUUCCCGGGUCU
rnacentral:rRNA from 1 species